ensembl:lincRNA uncharacterized LOC102003191
GUUGAAUGUCCAAUUGUCUAUUCAUGACUCCCUAUUUUAUGAUGACCUUGAACAUUUGAUAACAUGAGUUGCUGGUAUAGGGAAACAAUAACAGGAUAUGACUCAGUUCUUAUCUGAUUUCCACUAACAAGGUAUAUGACUGGACUAGUUUCAUCGUCUGAACUAGAUCUAUGAGCUCCCAUCCAUUCUGCACUUUUAGAGUAUGUAUAGAAAUCAGUUACUGGAGAAACCAAUGAGGUCUGUGGGAAUUGUCUUUGAACACUUUCUUUUCCUUGAAGGAGGCAGCUCAGAAUGUAGAGAAGCCUGCAACAACUCUGUCUUACGCAGGGCCAAUGGUGUUGGCAUUUUGAAAUACCAGAUUGGAUUGGCAUCCUAGGAAAAAAAAAAACCCCAGCUCAGAAAAAGUCGCCUAAAAAAGCCACCAUCUACAAAGUGGUGAAAGAAGAUAGCCGAGAUAUGACAAAUGCCAAUGAAACAAAUUCUGCGAUCGAGAGCGAGCCUGAAGUGUGAAAUGAACAAAUGUUAAAUGUGAUAAAAUCGCUGUCAGUGCUACCCCAAUCAUCUACUCUGACAAAUACAAUGCUCGAUCAGAAAAUCAGG